AGCAGCAGAAAGUGGAGACACGUUGACUGCUGAUUCCUGCACGGAUGAGCUGCGAGACAAAAGAGAGACAGUGUCAUUUGAAGGGCACAGGUUCCAUCCAUCAAUCUUCCAUAUUCUAUACUGGGGAGCCUGGAGCCUAUCACAGGCAACAGGACGGGGUGCUAACCCAUUACGGGACACAAUCACACACCCAUUCACACACUAUGGACAAUUUGGAAAUGCCUACAACACACAUGGCUUUGGAAUGGAGGAGAAAACUGGAGUACCAGGAGGAAACCCCCGAAGCACAGGGAGAACAUGCAAACUCUGUGCACACAGGGUGGAGGCGGGAUUCGAUCCCCCAACUCCAAAGGUGCGAGGCAAGCGUGCUAACCACUUACCCACCAUGCCCUCCCCUCGCUUGUAUAUUACCAAGAACCCAAAAAGUGCAAAGUCAUCUGUCCUGAAGACUCUCACAUGAUUUCCAUAACUCCUUCCAUAGAUUCUCCUUACAGAAAACUUCACCAAUAAUUAUACUGUACAUUUAAUAACAGCAUAACAAUCGCCUUAAUUUAAACCUGUGGUAGUGGGAACUACUGUCAGAGCUGCUGUUAUGGAAAAUUAAUUAGCGCCAUCUGACCAAUCAGAAUUGAGAAUUUAACAGCGCUGUGGUAUGAAACAUUAUAACUCAUAACGCACUCUGUUGUUAUCGAUAUAGUGUCGAGUGUUAGGGGACUCACCGUGCCGCUGCUGCCCAGGGAAAGAUGACUGAGCUGCUGGGUCAGUGGCAUCAUGGCAGCAGGCUGGAUGGACAGUGUGUGAUCCAUGGUAGGUGUUAGGAGUGUUCCCUGUGGAUAUUCCACAGAGAAAAUGAGAGCAAAGGUGAUGAGAACCAUAUGGUAGGAGCACUGAUUUGAUGGUUGAUGCGCUGCUUUAUGGAAGACCUACCGUGGGCUGCAUGAGGUACGACUGAUGGUGCAUCCAGGAUGGAUUGUGUACCUGUAGUACAGGGAAGGAUUCUGUUUAUCACUGAGUCAACACACAUUGUCAAUUAUUAUAAUUAAUAUGCAUAAAAUAUGAAGAAGAAAAAAAUACCACCUUGACGGGAACCUGCAAAACUGUUUCCCACAGACUUAUCAACUGAACUAUCCAUCCAGCCAUCCACUUUCUGUACCUGGCUUAUCCUUCAAAGGGUUGCGGGGAGUCUGGAGCCUAUCCCACGGGACUUGGGGCACAAGGUGGGGAACACCAUGGACGGGGUGCCAAACCAUCUCAGGGCACAAUCAUACACACGUUCACACACUUUAGAGAUGCCAAGCGGCGUACAGCCAGUCUUUCGACUGGAGGAGGAAACUGGAGGAAGCCCCCGAGGCACGAGGAGCACAUGGGUGGAGGCGAGAAUUGAAUCUCCAUCCCUGGGGGUGCGAUGUAAACCACUAAGCCACCGUGCACCCCUUCAACUGAACUAAAAUAUAUUUGAAGUGAAAAAUAUAUUAAAUGGAAAUUGUAAAAUUAUAAUUAAUCAAUCAUGUUUCUUAUGUCAUGCAUGCUAAGAAAGGGGGGGGGGGGGGGUUGAAUAUAGAACACGGCCCUACUGAUUUAAAGGUUGAAGAACCCUACAUAGUGCUUCGUUAUUAACGACGAUUCGCAGAAAACCUCUUUAGCCAGCGAAAAUUCCUCAGCUAUGCAAAGAAUCCUUGACAGAACUUGUUUAGUGCAUUUAAGGAAGAACGGACUAUCACGUACAUCAUGAAAUUUCCCAAAGGUACGGUGAAAAUGUUACAAGUUGCCCUGACCUUCUAUAAUAGACAUUACAAAUAAUGUGGGUGACUGAAAACCUGCAGAGUCUCAACUUUCUAUGGACUUUGCAUUGGCACACACAUACACUGG